rnacentral:rRNA from 1 species
UACGUAGGGAGCGAGCGUUAUCCGGAAUUAUUGGGUGUAAAGGGUGCGUAGGCGGCAUAAUAAGUCAGUGGUGAAAGCCCGGAGCUUAACUCCGGUAAGCCAUUGAAACUGUUAAGCUUGAGUAUGGUAGAGGCAAGCGGAAUUUCUAGUGUAGCGGUAAAAUGCGUAGAUAUUAGAAGGAACACCAGUGGCGAAGGCGGCUUGCUGGGCCAAAACUGACGCUGAGGCACGAAAGCGUGGGGAGCAAA